UACGGAGGGGGCUAGCGUUGUUCGGAAUUACUGGGCGUAAAGCGCACGUAGGCGGCUUUGCAAGUUAGAGGUGAAAGCCCGGGGCUCAACUCCGGAAUUGCCUUUAAAACUGCAUCGCUAGAAUUGUGGAGAGGUAAGUGGAAUUCCGAGUGUAGAGGUGAAAUUCGUAGAUAUUCGGAAGAACACCAGUGGCGAAGGCGACUUACUGGUCCAUUACUGACGCUGAGGCUCGAAAGCGUGGGGAGCAAACAGG
rnacentral:rRNA from 1 species